rnacentral:rRNA from 1 species
GCACAGAUGACGACCGGCGCACGGGUGCGUAACGCGUAUAGAAUCUACCUUAUACUAGGGAAUAGCCUUUGGAAACGAAGAUUAAUGCCCUAUAGUAUAUUGUUUUGGCAUCAAGACAAUAUUAAAGGUUACGGUAUAAGAUGACUAUGCGUUCUAUUAGCUAGAUGGUGUGGUAACGGCACACCAUGGCAACGAUAGAUAGGGGCCCUGAGAGGGGGAUCCCCCACACUGGUACUGAGACACGGACCAGACUCCUACGGGAGGCAGCAGUGAGGAAUAUUGGACAAUGGAGGCAACUCUGAUCCAGCCAUGCCGCGUGCAGGAUGACUGCCCUAUGGGUUGUAAACUGCUUUUAUACAGGAAGAAACCUUUUCACGUGUGAGAAGCUGACGGUACUGUAAGAAUAAGGAUCGGCUAACUCCGUGCCAGCAGCCGCGGUAAUACGGAGGAUCCAAGCGUUAUCCGGAAUCAUUGGGUUUAAAGGGUCCGUAGGUGGAUAAUUAAGUCAGGGGUGAAAGUCUGCGGCUCAACCGUAGAAUUGCCUUUGAUACUGGUUAUCUUGAAUUAUUGUGAAGUGGUUAGAAUAUGUAGUGUAGCGGUGAAAUGCAUAGAUAUUACAUAGAAUACCAAUUGCGAAGGCAGAUCACUAACAAUAUAUUGACACUGAUGGACGAAAGCGUGGGGAGCGAACAGGAUUAGAUACCCUGGUAGUCCACGCCGUAAACGAUGGUCACUAGCUGUUCGAACUUCGGUUUGAGUGGCUAAGCGAAAGUGAUAAGUGACCCACCUGGGG